GAUGAACGCUGGCGGCGUGCCUAACACAUGCAAGUCGAACGGAGAUACGUGGAAUGCGGACUUGUCCAAAUGAAACGUAUACUUAGUGGCGGACGGGUGAGUAACGCGUGGAUAACCUGCCUUUUUCUGGGGGAUAGCAGUUGGAAACGACUGGUAAUACCGCAUGAGCUUCCUUAAAGGCAUCUUUGAGGGAGGAAAGAUUUAUCGGGAAAAGAUGGAUCCGCGUCUGAUUAGCCAGUUGGCGGGGUAACGGCCCACCAAAGCAACGAUCAGUAGCCGGCCUGAGAGGGUGAACGGCCACAUUGGGACUGAGACACGGCCCAGACUCC
rnacentral:rRNA from 1 species